UUACUUGCAGAAGAAGCACNGGGCUUAANUUCCGUNCCAGCAGGCNGCGNUAAUACGGAGGGUGCAAGCGUUAAUCGGAAUUACUGGGNGUAAAGCGCNCGCAGGCGGUUUGUUAAGUCAGAUGUGAAAUCCCCGAGCUCAACUUGGGAACUGCAUUUGAAACUGGCAAGCUAGAGUCUUGUAGAGGGGGGUAGAAUUCCAGGUGUAGCGGUGAAAUGCGUAGAGAUCUGGAGGAAUACCGGUGGCGAAGGCGGCCCCCUGGACAAAGACUGACGCUCAGGUGCGAAAGCGUGGGGAGCAAACAGGAUUAGAUACCCUGGUAGUCCACGCUGUAAACGAUGUCGAUUUGGAGGUUGUGCCCUUGAGGCGUGGCUUCCGGAGCUAACGCGUUAAAUCGACCGCCUGGGGAGUACGGCCGCAAGGUUAAAACUCAAAUGAAUUGACGGGGGCCCGCACAAGCGGUGGAGCAUGUGGUUUAAUUCGAUGCAACGCGAAGAACCUUACCUACUCUUGACAUCCAGAGAAUCCUGCAGAGAUGCGGGAGUGCCUUCGGGAACUGUGAGACAGGUGCUGCAUGGCUGUCGUCAGCUCGCGUU
rnacentral:rRNA from 1 species